UACGUAGGGUGCGAGCGUUAAUCGGAAUUACUGGGCGUAAAGCGUGCGCAGGCGGCGGCUCAAGUCAGGUGUGAAAUCCCCGGGCUUAACCUGGGAAGUUGCGCUUGAAACUAGGUCGCUAGAGUGUGGCAGAGGGGGGUGGAAUUCCCAGUGUAGAGGUGAAAUGCGUAGAGAUGUGGAGGAACACCGAUGGCGAAGGGCAGCCCCCUGGGUCAAGAUUGACGACUCGAUGCCAGAAAGCUGGGGAGCAAACAGG
rnacentral:rRNA from 1 species